UGCAAUUGGAGUCACUAGAGGUCUUAUC
rnacentral:piRNA from 1 species